rnacentral:rRNA from 1 species
AGUGAACGCUGGCGGUAGGCCUAACACAUGCAAGUCGAACGGCAGCACAGUAAGAGCUUGCUCUUACGGGUGGCGAGUGGCGGACGGGUGAGGAAUACAUCGGAAUCUACUUUUUCGUGGGGGAUAACGUAGGGAAACUUACGCCAAUACCGCAUACGACCUACGGGUGAAAGCAGGGGAUCUUCGGACCUUGCGCGAUUGAAUGAGCCGAUGUCGGAUUAGCUAGUUGGCGGGGUAAAGGCCCACCAAGGCGACGAUCCGUAGCUGGUCUGAGAGGAUGAUCAGGCACACUGGAACUGAGACACGGUCCAGACUCCUACGGGAGGCAGCAGUGGGGAAUAUUGGACAAUGGGCGCAAGCCUGAUCCAGCCAUACCGCGUGGGUGAAGAAGGCCUUCGGGUUGUAAAGCCCUUUUGGUGGGGAAGAAAAGCAGCAGGUUAAUACCCCGCUGUUCUGACGGUACCCAAAGAAUAAGCACCGGCUAACUUCGUG